rnacentral:ncRNA from 1 species
UAAAAGUUUUGCUUUGGCUUAAAAUUAAAUUAUCCUAACUAAAAUACAUGCGAGUUAUACCUCACCAAUGAAAACAAUAAUAAACUAAAAGUUUAAGCACCAAACUUUAAACAAGACAUCAAAUCAUAAUCAAACCUAUGACUUACCCAUUUAAGCAGUAUACAAAAUUAUUUAAAUAGUGCCAACUAGUAAAAGAGAAUAGGAACAUAAGGUGGAGAAAGUUGUGCCAGCAUCCGCGGUUACACAACUACCUAAAACUUAACUUCUAGGUAAUACGAAAAGAAAAAUAAAAUAAAAGACAAGAGUUAAAUCUAAUAAAUCCUUUAAUUAACCCCAAUCUUCUGCUACCCACCCAAAUCCGUGAAAGUUUCACUUAGAACUAGGAUUAGAGACCCUACUACUGAUAACCAUAAAAACAAAAAUACCAGGGCAUUACGAGCAUAACUUAAAACCUAAAAAGCUUGGCGGCUUUUUAAAAACCCAGGGAAGCUUGUUAUAUAAACGAUAAUCCGCGAUAAUCUUCACCUUUUUUUGAAAUAAAACAGUUCGUAUACCUCCGUCUAAAGUUUAUCUAUAAAAGAAAAAAUAAGCUAAACGAUCUAAUAACCCACACGUCAGGUCAAGGUGCAACCCAUAAAAAGGAAAUAAUGAGCUACAUUAAAAUAAAUCAAUGGACACACCAACAAAAGUUGGAAAAGAAAUAGUACUUGGCAGUAAUUUAAUGUUUAAAACAAAUUAAUGAACACCUACUAGAAAGUGCACAAAUCGCCCGUCAAUCCCCCCGAAAGAGGGGAUAAGUCGUAACAAAGUAGGUGUACCUGAAGGUGCACCUAAA